ACCAAACCAUUCCAGCUGCUCGCUGCGAGCCCGCAGUCGAACCCGGGCAAUGGCCACGUGUCAACAUGCAUGGGGCGGCGGCUCAUAAAAUGGACAGUCGACAGUCCGUAGUCGGCAGUCGGCAGUCGACAGUUGGUAGUCGGCAGGCAGUCCGUAGUCGGCCGUAGUCCGCUGUCCGAUGAGGACAGAAACUGAAUGCAACGCACAAAUAAAACAGCAAAAACUGCGCCGAGUGACAAAAAAUGCCAAUGACAAACGUCGAAAAGGGGCGGGGGGAGGCAAGCAGAAACAGGA